GGCUCUGUUUGCCUUCCCCGCCCUACAAUCACAUGCAUACUGAACUGCUAACACUAAUUUGUUUAAAGAAAAGUAUUAUCGCCAUAAGAGAGGUUUCCCCACCAAAUUUACUCGACUCUCCACCCUCAAACUUGACAUACCCACAUGUGACCUACCUUGGUUCAAGACUCGUGUUACCACGGCAAGUCGCUGGCUGUGUUGGCAAACCGCAGACAGCGCGGUCACUCUGGACGCAGGAGACACACUGACCACUUUGCCCCCCCGGCACUACCAGGUGGGACAUGGCGCCACCUGGUGGACAGUUUCGGACACAGCAUACAAACAAGAGCUCUCCUCUUGCUGCCAGGAGGCCAAAGUGAUCGCCUGGCUGAGUGAAGAGGUGAGGGAGGCCAGACCAAUGAGGUAGCCAUCUUCCCUGCUUCCCUUGGCCCAGGGGACAUUGUGUCGCAGUUGGUGGGUGUCAGGCACAGGUGUCGUCUUUCCAAAGUCUAUCAUCCACACGCUGGCCUUACUGCUGUGGUCAUGGACAAAGAGCAGCGAGCUGCCAAUCACCUGGUUGGAAAGGGAAAACAAGUUUAAAGCAAGUUUAGGCAAAAUUUACCAAAGCCCAUGCAAAGGAAUUACUGUUCUGCAUAUCCACACCAACCUCAUGAGUUCUAAAAAAAGAUGACUCCUUUAGGGUUUCACUCAAGGCCUGGAGUCUGGCAUGAUAGGCCUUCUGAAAGGACAUAGGAAAGAAAGGGUUGUGGUUUAGCCACAACAAAUGGGAAUGGGUAAGAGCAGAAAGAAACAAGGAAAAGAAGGCAGUGUUGAGGGAAGUAAAGAUGGAAAAUUGGGGGAUGAAAAAAAUAUUAUGAAAGAUCAUUAGGACAUUUUUGGUUUAAUUUUUAUACAAGGUCAUCCAUGUAAGGAAAAAUCAGCAAAAUGUAGCUUUUGAGUAGGACAGAGAGAACUGACCAGGAUGUGUAGCUGACGGCUGGUGAAGAAGAGCAAGGCCUCAGUGGCUUGUGCCAAGGUCAUAAUUUUCCUGAAGUCCCGUUCGACUUUGCCAUUGUCCAUCUGACACAGAGAGAAAGCCACAAACAUGAGGGUACAUGCCAGCACAGAUACAGCACAUUUAAAGAAAGAGGGUAUGGAUAACGUCCCAUAAGCAGAUGGUGGUGAUGAUUUUACCAGCCUUAGCCACGCUCUGUGCAGGGAAAUGCAUCUAGUCCUACCAUGAUGCCUUCAAUCCGGAAUCCCAGUGUGGCUGUGGAGCUGCUUGUAUCCCGCCACUGAAGGUAUCGCCACUUUGUCACCCCUUUCUGCGCGUGUUCCUCUGCUGAUGGAGCUGUUGAGUCUAUUUUCAUCAUCUUCUGGUACAUGUCAUUCCGCAGGAUAGGCUUGGUCUGUGCUUUCAUCAGUUCCUCCUCCUGAUAUGUCCUGCAAAGGAAACCACAUGCACUAAUUUGCGUGGACAAUCAUGCAGCUAUGGUUACUUGCAAAAUUUAAGUCAAGGUUAAAAAUCAACACUAUAUCAGAGUUUGAGUAAAUCCAUAACCAUCAGAGACUGAUGGUUAUGGAUUCAGCAGUCAGCUGCUGCAAUCGGAGGGAAAACCUGCAGAAUCCAUGGCACAGGGCUGGAGGGGUCACUGCAUGUUUAGUGGACACAAGAAAACAUGCCUACCUGACGCCCAUCUUGCAGUCCAUGAUGACAGGUCUCUUUAAGCCACUCAGCAAGUCGUCCAAGCGGAUGUAGCUGUGGUCCCCGCUGGUGACUAAGCCAUGGUACUGCGGGACAAAGGGCCUUAGUUGGUCUCUCAUGAGCCAGUCUAAGCAUCUGGCCUCCACUUCACUGUACAGUUUAAGCACCUUCCCACCGUCACUCAACUGGAAGUUACCUAGUGGCAUCAACCAGCACAGAAGAUGUUGAUUAUCCACCUGGGUCUGUAUCUGCUCAAUAAAGCAUUGAUAUGAGA